GUAUGUUCAAUGUAUAUCACGUGUGCGUCAUGCAUAUACUACAGAGUUGUCCAAUAUAAAAGUUAUAAUGAACAAUUAAGCAUUGAUUCAAAUGAUAAAUCACAUUUGAAUACCCAAAAAUGAAAAAAAAAUCUUUAUCAACAACUUGAGUUUUAAGUGUUUUUCUACAAUAACAAGUGGACUUUUGAACUCCUGUAACAACAACUUAUGAAAGGUUCAAUGGUAAGCUUUGAAAGAUUUAAAAGGAGAGUCCCACGAUUGUUACAGGAUCCUAUACUAUGAUAUUGGCAUCAAAGCAUCAGCAACAACAACUGGAUUUAAGUUUGGGAUUUGGGGAAGAAGAAUCAGUGAUUUGGCCAAAGCUUCUCAUAGCUUUCCUAAUCCAUUUGCCUUUAGCUCAUUAUUGUUGUCUUUUUUGCAUUCUUUAGCAUUCCUUUUAACAAAGGAAAAUUUACAUGAAGAUACAUCCUAACUUUCUAUUAUUACAUAAAAUUCCAUCUUUCAAAACUAAUUACAGAUAUCCCAUUUUCUAUAUUUUCUCUCUCCAAACUCCAUAUACAUAUCACAACUUAUCUUUUAUUACUCCUAAUACUCCAUAAUUUGUGCCUAAAAUAAAGCAAUCAUAAUCCCACUAUUCAAGGUUUGAAUUUACAAUCUUCUUCUUCAAUAUUGCAACAAGUCAAAGAUAACAUAGUUUCUCAAUCUCUUUGUUGGUGAACCACGUCGCCGACACCCCCUUCAAUUCAUUUUUAUCGGAGAACUACGCUGAUAGUGGUUGGGGUUCUUCAUUGUUAUCUAUUUUUAAAGGAUCAGCACGACCUCGACGAACCAUGCUGGUAGUGGUAGUGGAUAUUCGAUGUUCUUCAAGUAAGAACAUUGUUAUAUAUACCUAUGGUAUGUAUAAGGAUAAAGUCGCAAAAUCCUCAAGUAAGAACAUUUCUGUUUCUUCUACAGCUAUGUUUUACCUCAUACAUAAUCAUGUUAUGUAUAAAGUUAUGGUUAGCUGCAGUUAUGUUCUAAAUUAUACAUUUGAGGUUAUGUAUAAUAAAGUCAAAUUUAUAAACAUGUACGUCUUUUUACUUGUCAAUAUAAUCUGAAGUUUUGGUGUAAAAUUUCUCUGAAGUUCAGAGAAUUGCGAUGUUCUUGUUAUUGAUAAAUAUUGACGAAAAACAGAGGUUCAAGAACACAAAAAUUAAUUGCUUGAAAAAAAAGAAAUAUUUUGAUCAAUGAAAUUUUUGUGUUGUUUGAAGUUUUUUGAAUUUGAUUUGCUGUAAUUAAUUUUAAGGAUCGAUUAAUCACAAUUACAAUAAGUGGCAUUGAUUGUGCAAUAAAUUAAAGGCGGCUGAUUUAUUUUUUAUAAAUAAUGUUAAAACGGUUAUUUCAUAUACAUAGAUUGUAAUGUAUAAUAACGACCAACAAUGUAUAAAAACAUUACAAAUUCAAAAGAGAGAAAAAAUAAAUAACAAAUUCAGAAAAGAGUAUAAUUAACUACCUAAAAUCUGAAAUUUAUGUUGUUUAUCCUUUAAUAAAAAGGUCUGAAGUUCACCUUUAAAUUAAAAAAAAAUAAAUUUCAAGUGUUCUUCACCCAAAUACAGAAGACACAUUGCAUAAUUGAAAUACGAAUUUAAGAAAAAAGAUUCAAGCAUCAAUCAACAAAAAUUACAAAUGCUCAAAUAUUUUGACUUCUUCAUAUCUAAGCUUCUCAAAUUCAUCAAUAGUGGAUUUCAAAAAUAGAUUUAGGGUCUUUUUGGACGACUUAUUUUUUAUGCUUUUAAAUUAAAAUAAUUUUUAAGCAUUUUUAAAGUAUUUGAGUAAAACAAAAAAAUUACUUUUAAGCACUUAGAUUUAUGUUAAAAAGGUAAAGAUAUGCCAAAACCCAUAAAUAAGAAUUUCUAAAUUAUGAGUUUUGAUUUAUAUCCACACACCGAGUGAACUAGCAAGAGACUGAUGACAUCUCACAAUCUUUGAAAAUCCAUGCAAUUUUAAGCAGUUGUGAGAAUUUGAAAUAGUGUGCUAAAUGAUUGAGAGAUGUAAGAAAGAGAGACAAAGGAAGAGAGAAUAUUCUAUUAAAGAUUGAGGUGGAGUGAUAAGUAUUCAUUCAUUUUUAAUAAAAGAUUUCAAAUUUGAAAUUUUUGAUAUGAUAUUAUUUUUGUUAGGGAGCAUUUU
rnacentral:lncRNA from 1 species